AAUAAUCACAACGAUUACUUAACGAGCACACUGCAGAAAACCUCACAUAGUAGUGCUAAAAAUAGUGGGGUGGUGGGUCCGGCUGUAGCAUUUACAACGACGGGCCAC
rnacentral:sRNA from 10 species